rnacentral:rRNA from 1 species
GACGAACGCUGGCGGCGUGCUUAACACAUGCAAGUCGAACGGAAAGGCCCUGCUUUUGUUGCGUUCUCGUUUGGCGCACGGGUGAGUAACACGUGUGUAACCUCCCCUUGACUUUGUGGUAUCUUCUGGAAACUCGGGCUAUUACCGGAUAUGAGCUCCUGCUGCAUGUUGUGGGUUGGAAAGUUUCGGCGGUUGGGGAUGGACUCGCGGCUUAUCAGCUUGUUGGUGGGGUAGUGGCUUACCAAGGCUUUGACGGGUAGCCUGCCUGUGAGGGUUACCGGGGACAAGAGGACUAAGAUACGGCCCAGAAUGGUACGGGAGGCAGCAGGGGGGAAUAUGGCAGAAUGGGCGGAAGCCUGAUACAGCAACGUCGCGAGCGGGAUGACGGCCUUCGGGGUGUAAACAGAUGUCGCCGGAGACGAAGAGGGAGUGACGGUAAUGAGUAAAGAAGCAACGGCUAACUACGUG